AGCGAACGCUGGCGGCAGGCCUAACACAUGCAAGUCGAACGAACUCUUCGGAGUUAGUGGCGGACGUGUGAGUAACACGUGGGAACGUGCCUUUAGGUUCGGAAUAACUCAGGGAAACUUGUGCUAAUACCGAAUGUGCCCUUCGGGGGUAAGAUUUAUCGCCUUUAGAGCGGCCCGCGUCUGAUUAGCUAGUUGGUGAGGUAAAGGCUCACCAAGGCGACGAUCAGUAGCUGGUCUGAGAGGAUGAUCAGCCACAUUGGGACUGAGACACGGCCCAAACUCCUACGGGAGGCAGCAGUGGGGAAUCUUGCGCAAUGGGCGAAAGCCUGACGCAGCCAUGCCGCGUGAAUGAUGAAGGUCUUAGGAUUGUAAAAUUCUUUCACCGGGGACGAUAAUGACGGUACCCGGAGAAGAAGCCCCGGCUAACUUCGUG
rnacentral:rRNA from 1 species